CAUUGACUGACCGUGGACCGACAGAUUGACAGAAUAUAGGAUGCAAUUUGACUAUGCCGCGUUUACAGCCCGCAUGGAUUUCUCCGUCGAUGAUUGGUUAAUGGCUGGAAUGACGUUAGUUAUACUAUAAUUAGGAAGUUUGUAACAAAGACCCACAUCCUGUAUAACACUUCUCGCUAGACGAUUUAUGAAAAGGGUAAAGUGUGACAGGACGUGAGUGUAUUGCUAGAGGAUUAACACGAAAAGAGCAAAAUAUUUUGCUAGAUUUAAAACCUGAAUCAGUCUAAACGAUUAUAAUAUUAUCUAUUAAGAAUUAAUUAAAGUAAAUAAUAAAAUGGUAUUAUUCAACUUUCUGUUGCAGGACUUGGGUUAAGUCAAGAUUUUUGGCAGUGGCUAUUCUGAAGGUUGUGUCAUUAUUACUAGUCAACCUUUGGUAAAAUAAGUAAAGUUUUACUUGCGAUGGGAAACAUUAUAUUUCCAGCCCCUUGGCAUCCACCAAGAUUUGAUAAUGCAAAUAAACUGUUCGUUGUUUUGCGCUAUGGAUUAGAUUGCUUACACUAAACUGUUAAUAUUUGCUUAACUUGAAAGUUGCACAAAAUAAUGCAGAUUUCUGUAACUGUAUAGCUACUGAUAUGAGAUAAUAUGAAAAUUGGUUUUGUUAAUCAAAAUGUAUUAAAUGGUAUAUAGUUUCA